CCGUUAGUAGGAUUCAUCAAAUGAGGUGCUGGCCUCUAUCCAUAUUUUGGGGGAACCAUUGCAGAUGUCCUUGCAUUGUAAAGCACAAGCCAGAAUGUAUCUAUGGACUGUGUACAUAGCUCUAACCCUACUAACCAUUGAUUCUUUUUCAUGUAACAUAAAGGUAGCCUUUUUGUUUUUAAUUUUUGUUCAGAUUUUGACAGGAUCAACAUCAUGAAAAUUUUGUAUAGAAGUUGAGAAAUGAAAGGAAAUGAGAGGCCAGGCAUUCUUAUUGUAAGUGUAAUAUAACCAGGUGUAAGUUGAUAGUUGAGAAUUCUUUUUUCUAUUGUUUCACUCACCAUUUGUUAGAAUAUUCUCAUUUAUUUAAAGGAAAUAUAUCUCUCCCAAGUC